AACAUGGAGAGGCUCAGUGACAGAGUGAGAAGCGUGGAGAAAGAGGAGCUUUUGCACUUUAGUAUUAGCUGAGGUAGUAACCUGGUGUUGAAUCUUCGGGGGGGGAAGGGCGUGACCCCAGCUAAACUGGGAGGGCCAGAUGGCUGGGAUUAUUCAUAUUGAUCAUAUGUUUUAGUGCUGGGAGGUUGAGCUUUGUUAUUCAAAUUAAAUUUGAACUUUAAAAAUAUUUACAUAUUGGAUGACAGAAAUGAUGUUCGACUUUCAGAUUUUUGAAGAUUUAAGGUAGGCAACCACUCCUCAUUUUUGUGUUACGUAAUCACCCUUGUUAUGGGACCUGCCACUAGGGGCAGAUUACCAUAAAUUAACUGAGCUAGCCGAAAUGGCUGAAACUAGUCCCCCUCCAAGCACGUCCCUCGCCCCUGCUAGGUGAAUAAAUAGCUUGCUUUGGAAAAUACCAUCAAAAUACCAUAUAUUAUGGUAUGAUGUAUGGACUGUAUGAUGGUAUGGGAAAUGAAAUCCAGUCACGCGUGCCAUAAUGACAUUUCAGGUAAAGACAGACUGCGUAUACGACGGUGGUCCAAUAAGAUUAUAACGGAGCUGAAAAAUUCCUAUCAUCUAUGAUGUCAUAGUGCAGUGAUUCACUCAUGUGUUUGUGGUGAUGCUGGUGUAAACAAACCUACUGUGCUGCCAGUUGUAUAAAGGUAUAGCACAUGCAGUAUUUUACAGCGCAUGAUACUUCAUAAUGAUAAUAAACAACUAUGUUACUGGUUUAUGUGCAUGACUGUACUGCGCCAGCAUAGUUAGAUGUAGCCUAAUCUGAAGGCAGCAUUUGAUGGCAUGAUGUCUGCGUUUUAAGCUAUUUUAUGCACGUGUCAGGGUCAGCGCCUGUCCAACCCUGCGCUUCGUGUCUCCUCCCCGUUUGGCCAGCAGGUGCUGCUGGCCAUCCUAUCCUCCACCCUGUCUCUUGUCCUUCAGUCCCAGUGUGCUAUCCCUAUUCACCGGCCUGCUGCAUGGCUCAAUGUGUUGUGUCUGUGGCUUAGGGACUGCAGUCCCCAGUCAUGGGUUUGAGGCUGGCUAAUGACCAGCUUCAUCUCUUUCUUUGUAUUUGAGUUUCUGUUCCCCAGUGUUUUGUUUCCUUUUGAGUUUCCCGUUUUAGGUUUGCACUCCUUGUGUUCUGUUCUAGUUUUAUGUUGCACUUUGUUUUCUUGUUUAUUUUCCUAGUGUAAUAUUUCCCUGUGUUUCUUUAGUUUCAGGUGUUUAGUUCCUUAGUUCUGUGUUCAUUAGUGUUAGUCGCGUCACCUGUGUCUUCUUGCCCUGUGCAGCUGUUGAUUGGUUGUUUUUGAGGAUUCACACCUGCCCUUUGUUAGUCUUAUUAUCAGUGUAUUUAUGUGCCUGCCUUUGUUAAUUUCCUAGUCAGUCAUUGUGCCCAUGUUACUGUGUAUUGUCUCUUCUUGGUUUUUUUUUUUUUAGUUCCUGCUCCCUUUGUUGCCUAGUUUCCUGUGUGAUUUAUGGUUCCCUGUUGUUAUUUUGCCAUUUAGUUCUGACUCCUUGUGGUCCCUUUAUUUUGGUGGUUUUCCUUUUGUUGUUUCUGUUAACUAAUAAAUUCCUUGUCUUGUGAGCCUCUAAGUGGAUCGUCACCUUUUCCCCGCCAUGCGGUAAGAGCAGCCGCUGCACUUAGUGGUUGCGGGUGUCAUGUUGGCCCCAGGCCAGCCCUGCCCGUCUUCGUCAUAAACAUGUCCUGAUGAAGUCCUUUCAUUAUCUUCUGAGGGCAGAAGAGUAACAUCUAUCAGUACGAUUGCUGCCCUGUCAGUUCCAGUCCAUCAGGUGGACCCCCACAGAAAGCUCCGGCUGUGGUGAACAUGAAUGCACGAGUGCCCCCUCCUCCAGUUUACCGCUCCAGGGGUUGUGUCUGUGCCUCUUUUCAGGAAAGCUGACGUUGGCUAGACACAGUGAGCAGGUAACAUGGCUUCCAGCGUCCCACAGCGUGCCGCCCUUGUGUCGGAAGGAGGUGCCGACAGCUCUGCUUCAGAUCGUACUCCGGAGCCAGGAAAAGCAGCGUGAUGUGGAAGGAUGGAAUGUGGGCCUGCUGCCUCGCUGGACGUCUGUGUGUCAUUUGCACACAGACGUAUCUCAUGGCGCCCCCUCCAGGGUGAUAUUCACACAGAUAGCCCCAGCCUCUUACUCUGCUUGGAUUUAGGCGCCUUGGUGAGAAGAGUCUGGAUACUCAGGGGAGUCAGAUGGGCAUGGAUGGCAGAUUCAGGGGGGGCAGAUUAUACAUGAAAUUGGGCAAGGGGACCCAAGUUGACGUUUUGUUAGGGGACCCAGAAUUUCUAGGUACCCCCCCACCAUCCUUGCCCUGCUGCAAAGGGCACAUGCAGUGGAGGCAGAUUCCCAGCAAACAUGCAGACUGUGCUUCUCUGAGGGCCCAGUCCAUAUUUUCAUGAAUGGAAGACCCCCCUCAUUGGUGCUGGUUUGUUGUGCCUCUGUUGCCGUUUCCUCCCCCCCUGCCACGCUUGCCUGUGUGUGGGAUGUGCUGAUGUGGGGGGCACAGUGUAACCCUCCCAUGUUCUCUAUACUGGGUCACACAUCCACAGAGAGCUGCUGAUCUUGGGUGGUUUUCUGGCCGGAAGCCCACUGGCUGUGCGUGUAUCCUUCAUCCUGUGGUCCCUGAAGCUUUAGGUGUAACACUGUAGUGAUCCCCCCCCCCCACAACCCAGCCAAUGAAAUGUCUUUGAGCUCCCCAUGCUAAAGGGAAGCAGAGGAGGGGUAAUGACAGUUAAUGUCCCGACCACUUAGUGGAUAUAAAUAGUGUAGGAGCCUGCUUUACACAUCACUGGCUUUCCCGCUCUGGCAUCAUGUUUCUCAGCGCAGAAAAUAGCAGGCACAAAAUGAAAAGGAAUUAAAGGGUUUUCCUUUUUCCGACAUGAGGGCAAUCUCAGCUCGGAGCUCGGCCCGGCUCUCCAGGGGUGCAGUAGGAACGUAAAUCUGCCCUGAGUCGCAGGGCUGAGAUGAUCAGCAACAGGGUAAUUGGUGGUGGGGGGGGGCGGGGUAUGAAGACAGCUAGUCUCUGGUCUGCUGUGGAUGUUACAGGUAAAAGCUCAUGGGAGACAAGAAGCACCCCCACGUGACCCCCUUGGUAUUACUGCAUGAGCUAUAUGAGAAAAACAGGUGUUUCCAUGGUGACGCCAAAGGCCCGGAACCGGUCCUUAGGUGCCGAGACUUCCUGUGGGGGGGUUGCCUCAGUGUCACCAGUUGAACACCCCCGGACCUUUAAUAAAGCGCGAGCGCGGCUCUGCAGGUAUGCUGGAGUCCUGGCUGUCCGCUUGCCGAUUUAAUGCUCCUGGUCUGCAGCGUGGAGUUCAUUGCCCCCCUCCUGUGGGGCCCUGGGGGGGGGGCUAAUAAGUCACAGAGCAGAAACCAGAGAAAACAUCAUUAAGCGAGGGAACAAUGGGCCCCUUUUACCCCCACAGAGCACAGGCCCCCGCUCAGGUGUCAUUUUGGGAGCCGCCUCAUCGCACACGUGAACGUAAUUUGCAUUUUGGACGUUCUGUACACAGGAUUUUUUUCCCCUCUGCGUUAAAUAUGUGUGUGUAAC